ACAGCAGAAAGCUUGCUCUCGGGUGACGAGCGGCGGACGGGUGAGUAAUGUCUGGGAAACUGCCUGAUGGAGGGGGAUAACUACUGGAAACGGUAGCUAAUACCGCAUAAUGUCGCAAGACCAAAGUGGGGGACCUUCGGGCCUCAUGCCAUCAGAUGUGCCCAGAUGGGAUUAGCUAGUAGGUGGGGUAACGGCUCACCUAGGCGACGAUCCCUAGCUGGUCUGAGAGGAUGACCAGCCACACUGGAACUGAGACACGGUCCAGACUCCUACGGGAGGCAGCAGUGGGGAAUAUUGCACAAUGGGCGCAAGCCUGAUGCAGCCAUGCCGCGUGUGUGAAGAAGGCCUUCGGGUUGUAAAGCACUUUCAGCGGGGAGGAAGGCGUUAAGGUUAAUAACCUUGUCGAUUGACGUUACCCGCAGAAGAAGCACCGGCUAACUCCGUGCCAGCAGCCGCGGUAAUACGGAGGGUGCAAGCGUUAAUCGGAAUUACUGGGCGUAAAGCGCACGCAGGCGGUCUGUCAAGUCGGAUGUGAAAUCCCCGGGCUCAACCUGGGAACUGCAUUCGAAACUGGCAGGCUAGAGUCUUGUAGAGGGGGGUAGAAUUCCAGGUGUAGCGGUGAAAUGCGUAGAGAUCUGGAGGAAUACCGGUGGCGAAGGCGGCCCCCUGGACAAAGACUGACGCUCAGGUGCGAAAGCGUGGGGAGCAAACAGGAUUAGAUACCCUGGUAGUCCACGCCGUAAACGAUGUCGAUUUGGAGGUUGUGCCCUUGAGGCGUGGCUUCCGGAGCUAACGCGUUAAAUCGACCGCCUGGGGAGUACGGCCGCAAGGUUAAAACUCAAAUGAAUUGACGGGGGCCCGCACAAGCGGUGGAGCAUGUGGUUUAAUUCGAUGCAACGCGAAGAACCUUACCUGGUCUUGACAUCCACAGAACUUUCCAGAGAUGGAUUGGUGCCUUCGGGAACUGUGAGACAGGUGCUGCAUGGCUGUCGUCAGCUCGUGUUGUGAAAUGUUGGGUUAAGUCCCGCAACGAGCGCAACCCUUAUCCUUUGUUGCCAGCGGUUCGGCCGGGAAUUCAAAGGAAAUGCCAG
rnacentral:rRNA from 1 species